rnacentral:rRNA from 1 species
GGAGUUAGCCGGUGCUUCUUCUGUGAGUGAUGUCCUUCCUGCCGGUUAUUGACCCGCAGGCCUUCUUCCUCACUGAAAGUGCUUUACAACCCGAAGGCCUUCUUCACACACGCGGCAUGGCUGGAUCAGGGUUGCCCCCAUUGUCCAAUAUUCCCCACUGCUGCCUCCCGUAGGAGUCUGGGCCGUGUCUCAGUCCCAGUGUGGCUGAUCAUCCUCUCAGACCAGCUACGGAUCGUCGCCUUGGUGAGCCGUUACCUCACCAACCAGCUAAUCCGACAUAGGCUCAUCCGAUAGCGCGAGGCCCGAAGGUCCCCCGCUUUCCCCCGUAGGGCGUAUGCGGUAUUAGCCUGGGUUUCCCCAGGUUAUCCCCCACUACCGGGCAGAUUCCUAUGCAUUACUCACCCGUCCGCCGCUCGCCACCAGGGAGCAAGCUCCCCGUGCUGCCGCUCGACUUGCAUGUGUUAGGCUCGCCGCCACGCGUUCAAUCUGAACCAACGAUACAAUUACUGA